rnacentral:rRNA from 1 species
CCUACGGGAGGCAGCAGUGAGGAAUAUUGGUCAAUGGGCGUAAGCCUGAACCAGCCAUCCCGCGUGAAGGAAGAAGGCGCUAUGCGUUGUAGACUUCUUUUCCAGAGGAAUAAAAUUUUGUACGAGUACGGAACUGAAGGUACUCUGGGAAUAAGCAUCGGCUAACUCCGUGCCAGCAGCCGCGGUAAUACGUAGGGUGCAAGCGUUGUUCGGAAUCACUGGGCGUAAAGGGCGCGUAGGCGGGUUUGUAAGUCGAUUGUGAAAUCCCAAGGCUUAACCUUGGAGCUGCAGUCGAAACUGCAAGUCUUGAAUGUCUGAGAGGGUGGGAGAAUUCCUGGUGUAGUAGUGAAAUACGUAGAUAUCAGGAGGAAUACCGGCGGCGAAGGCGCCUACCUGGCAGUACAUUGACGCUGAGGCGCGAAAGCGUGGGGAGCAAACAGGAUUAGAUACCCUGGUAGUCCACGCCUUAAACCAUGGAUACUAGGCGUUCGGAGUGUUAACCCUCUGAGUGCCGCAGCUCACGCAAUAAGUAUCCCGCCUGGGAAGUACGGUCGCAAGGCUAAAACUCAAAGGAAUUGACGG